GACGAACGCUGGCGGCGUGCUUAACACAUGCAAGUCGAACGGAAAGGCCUGCUUUCCCUUGUGGAUUGCGGGUACUCGAGUGGGGAACGGGUGAGUAACACGUGAGUGAUCUGCCCCCAACUUGGGUAUAAGCCUGGGAAACUGGGUCUAAUUCCCGAUAGGACUGCAGGGUGGUGCCUGUGGUGGAAAACGAUUUUCUAGUGGUUGGGGAUGAGCUCGCGGCCUAUCAGCUUGUUGGUGGGGUAAUGGCCUACCAAGGCGGCGACGGGUAGCCGGCCUGGGAGGGUGGACGGCCACAUUGGGACUGAGACACGGCCCAGACGCCGACGGGAGGCAGCAGUGGGGAGUAUUGCGCAAUGGGCGGAAGCCUGAUGCAGCGACGCCGCGUGGGGGAUGACGGGCUUCGGGUUGUAAACUCCUUUCGACCGAGAGGAAGCCACCUGGUUGGAAGGGUGGUGACGGUAGUGGUAGAAGAAGCACCGGCUAACUACGUG
rnacentral:rRNA from 1 species